ensembl:lncRNA
GCUCUCCCUCUCGGACUUAAUGACUUCCACAUGGGCCUCUGGCAUCCUGAGCCAAGCCUCCCAGCAUUGUCUGAAAUCUCCAAAUUUAGAAGAAAUAUGAAAAUUGUCAAGCAGCCCUUCCUUAGGGGGUAAAACCAACACUCAGCUGAGCAGCGGCGGGUCAGGGCGCGGGGCCACGUGACGGCACCCCAGCCAAUGGGUCCCCGCGGCGCCCCUGACAGAUGCGCCCGCCGGAGCCUGGCCUCCUUCUCCAGCUCAUAUAAGGUAAAAAGAAAAAGGUUUUCCAGCUUCUGAGCCGCAUGGAAGGAGUUUUCGCCCAGCACUCCCAUGCCAGCUGCUUAAAAAACCCCAGCAGGCAGCGUGGGGCCGCAGUGGCGGUUAUAAUGGGACAGGAGGAGGUGGCGGUUGCGUGCCCACACCCCGUGGUGAUGUGGGAAAGGGCAGCAGCCUUGGCCAUGGGAGUACCCAGGGACACAGCCAUCACUGGAGAUGCUGGAGGUGAACAGAGACUGUACAUCCCCGGACAGCGAGAGAAGGGCAGAGCUGGUGUGCCAGCAUACUGCCUGCACUGGUUGCCCUUUGGGCGCUGGCAGCAGCACGCACAAACCCAGCAGCCCCCUGAACAGGGCUGGCUCCCUGGGCAGUGCUGAGCCUGGGGUAGCUUCGUGCUGAAAGCAGUCUGGUCCCUUCCCAAGGAGCUGCUCACAAGGAAUGCAUGGGGCUGGGAGGCUGAGCUCUGCCAUGGGGCAGCGGGCCGUCAGGAGGGGCCUGUGAGCAGUGCUGCCCCAUGGCACUGAGCCCUGUGGCUGUUCCCACACUUGGCCAGUGCUCAGGGCUGGCCUGGCCUGAGCUGGGAGCAGGGACAGCCAGCACUGGCAGAGGCGGCUCCCAGACAUCCCUCCCGGGUGACUCACGCCGUGAUCUGUGCAUGGAGUUUGGGGCACUGUGAGCCUCUUCCCUUUCUUUUCUCCCAAUAAAUCGGGGCUGCGGAGCUGGGGGGUGGCAGGUGGGGGAGCGUGGAGCGAGCAGAGGCUGUGGGUGCCCAUUUCCCAGCUGGGUGCGCUCAGGGGGGGCCAUGCCGGAUGCAGGGAGCCGUGCUGGAGCUGCACCAUCUGCUUCUUGUCAGGCUGCUGGGAGCACCGCGGCUCCAGGGCCGGCAGUGGGACAUGGCUGUGAUGGAUGGUGUGUUUAUCAUGCUCUAGCGCUACUCAGGAUGUUAGUGCUCGCCUGCAAGAGAUGUUUCUGUGCUCGGCUGCUCCCUCCAUCCUCUCCUCCUCCUUCUCUCCCCAGACCCUCUCCCUUGAGCCCACACGGGGGGGUGGGGGUGUCCGUCCCACAGCCUCCAGCCCUGCCUGUGGCUGAGCUCCCAGGACCAGCACUGAAGCCUUCCCACAGAGGAGCUGCAGGCUCCUCUGGUGAGGACAGGAAUGGAGACAGGGACAGGGCUAUGCAGGGCUUGCACAUGCUCCUCAUCCCCCAGGGGACAUAAAGGAACAGAGUGCAGGGAGAAUGUACUGUGUGAGACCUGCAUCCCACAUCACCUCGGGGGCGUCCUGGCCCCAUACUGUACAGCCACCCCAGCAGUCACAUCCAUGUAGUUUGAGACUACAGGCAGGGACUCCCCAGUGCUGGGCCAGGUUCCGGGUCCUACAGCCCCACAGACGCACAGUUGGGAUGCGGCAGUGGGCGGUGUGCAGCCCUUCUCCAAGCACAGAGGUUUAUCUGUGCGAUGCCGCAGCCAGCCCAGCCCCAUCCCCCCCACCAGCCCCCAGCCUCAUCUAUCCUGCAGCCGCGAUGCCUGGCGGAACAGCCACACACAGCCAUGCGUGGCACAGCACACAUCGAGAGCAGCUGGGGGCUCCUCCAUGUCUCCCAGCCCAAGGUGCAGUGCUGCAUCUCUGGUCAAUUGGGAGUCUGAGAUGAAGCACUGUAGCUCGGGAAGGGAGGAACUGUGCCCUGGGACCCCGCCACCCCCCGGACUGCCGCCUGCUGGGAGCACUGAUGCCAGCGGAACAUGGGAACUGCGCAGUGAGACGGGAGCACAGCGUGUGACUGGAUGUGGGGGUCUGCCCUGCAGCCCCCCCCCCCCCCGCUGUCUCUGGGGCUGGGUCCCCAACUGUGGGAGAAGGGGCUCUCCCAGCCGUGUUUUUGGACACUGCCUCUGAUGGAGAAGCACAGAGAACGGAGCCUGCAGACACGCAGCGUGUCCCCCUGAAGAUCCCAUAGGGGCUGCUGACCCCCAGCCAUGGGGCAGGGCUCACCCCUCUGCUCUGUAUCCUGCGAGGGAAGGGCAGAGGAGGAGAGGUUUGCUUUGAGGCAGAGGAACACCCCUACGCCUGGUCAGGACUCCCAGAGCUCCCAGCUCUGUGGGGGGGGGGGGGCACGAAUGCUGCGUGGGGACAGCGGGGUCACACACAGAGCGGCCAGAGGAGCAGCUGUGCAGGGCGGGGGCCGCUGGGAGCCGCGGUCGCCGUGCUCUCAGGGUCCAGUUUUCCCAGGAAUCCCUUAGGCGCUACGUUGGGGAUUCCUGGAAAUACUGUUCUUGGGGCCACGGCUCUGCACCUGGAGACAGCCCGACCCCGAGCGGAGCCGCAGCCCCGCGGGAGCCAGGGACGAGGUACGGGGCCGCGGCCGCGAGUGGGACCCCCCGGGCGGCCCCGAUGCGGGGCGGUGGAGGGACCGGCCCAGGAAACGCCCCCUCCCGCGGGGCCGGGGCAGACGGCCGACCCCUCGGUCACAGCCCCCUGCGGGCGGACGCCGCCCAGUGCCUUUCACGCCGCUACAGCCCUUCGGUGCCCUCCACGAAGGACGGGGCUGCACGCGCGUCACCGAGCCGCCCCUGUACCAAUAAAGCUCUCGACUCCAAGGAACCGUCGGAGCCGUUUCUCUGGGGCGGGGAGCAGCGCAGGACGCUGCGGGCCGAUGCCGGAACCGCCCGGCCGUGCAGCAAAGCCCGCGGUGCGCCGCGCUCUGCUGCUCCGCUCCGCGCAGGGCGGACUGCACCGUGCGGGAGGGAGAGGGGCCGGGAGCAGCGGGGCCGGCAGGUGGCGGUGCUGCCCCGGAGCACGCAGUGCGUUUCGAGUGCAGCUGGCGGAGGAGGGGUUAAAUGAUGCCAUGCGGUUUCUCUCUCACACACACACAAAUUAAAAAAAUACUGCACUUAGCGCAGGAAAUGCCAACUCCGCUUUGUUGGGGUUUUUUUUUUUCCCUUUGCUUUUUAAUUGUUUCCUUCUUUCUUUUUUGGCUUUUUUUUUUUUUUUCCUUUUCUCCAGCCAGGAUUUUUACUGGAGAGAGAUUCUGUUCGGACCACAUGGACAACCCCUGGCCAAAAAGAGCCGCUGAAGGGCAGAAUUCCCGACCUGCCCCCACCUGCCGCACAACUGCUCCCCUAUGGGGCUCCGCUCCCCACACUGCUGCACACCCACCUGCAGCACAGCCGGGG